rnacentral:rRNA from 1 species
CCUACGGGAGGCAGCAGUGGGGAAUAUUGCACAAUGGGGGAAACCCUGAUGCAGCGACGCCGCGUGAGGGAAGAAGUAAUUCGUUACGUAAAGCUCUAUCAGCAGGGAAGAAAAUGACGGUAUCUAACUAAUAAGCACCGGCUAACUCCGUGCCAGCAGCCGCGGUAAUACGUAGGGGGCAAGCGUUACUCGGAUUUACUGGGCGUAAAGGGCGCGUAGACGGUGGGGCAAGUCUGGAGUGAAAUGCCGUAGCUUAACUGCUGAACUGCUUUGGAAACUGGCAAACUAGAGUGUGGGAGGGGUAAGCGGAAUUCCUGGUGUAGCGGUGAAAUGCGUAGAGAUCAGGAGGAACACCGGUGGCGAAGGCGGCUUACUGGACCGUAACUGACGUUGAGGCGCGAAAGCGUGGGGAGCAAACAGGAUUAGAUACCCUUGUAGUC